CCACUGCUCAGUCAGGAAAUUGUGUCAGAGCCUCCAUUUCACUGAAUGAUACCGUAUACUGCUGUAGCAGUCGAGAUGUCCAUCUUUCCUUUAAUGUUUUUUCUCCUCUUCCCUUAUGCGUUUUUACUAAAAUGUACAGAACAAUAUAAUGCACAUUUACCUAGCAAUAUAACAGGACUUAGUGGCUCUUGUUUGAGGAUACCCUGUGAAUUUGAGGCAGAC